rnacentral:other from 1 species
GUGGUAAUUUACUGUUAGUCAAUGAGGUUUCCUUCUCGUCAGAGUAAGUAACGAAUUGCUGUGUGUAGUCUUUGCCCAUCCCCUGAGAUGGGCUUUUUUUUUC